rnacentral:lncRNA from 1 species
GGAUGAGAUCUCUGAAUAUCCUAAGCCAAGUGCAGGCCAUAGGAGAAAGCAGUGAAAAAGAAACACUGUGACAAGCAAGGAAGAAACUUCAGACCAAGUUGACAGGCAGCCCUUCAGUUUACUGACUGCCGCUUCUUACCUGCCAACGCCAAGCACAAAGCUGCCUGCAGAGCCAGCCUCUAUCUGUGGUCCUUGUGCCAAUUAUCACUGCCCCACUCAUGCCGCAGGAUAUAAAGCAGAGUGACAGGGUCACAGGACUGCCAGAGGAAUACAGGCUACUAAAGUUGAGAGGUGAAGCCAGCUGGACUUCUGGGCCAGGCUGCAGUGCAGUGGUGCCAUCUGGGCUCACUGCAACCUCUGCCUCCCAGGUUCAAGUGAUCCUCAUGCCUCAGCCUCCUGAGUAACUGGGAUUACAGCUUCUAGAGGCUACCCACAUUCCUGGGCUAAUGGCCCCUUCCUACAUCUUCAAAGCCAGCAGUGGUGGGCUGAGUCUUUCUCCUGGUAUCAUCUCUUCAUUCUCUAUCUCCCUCUCCCAAUUUUAAGGACCUCUGUGAUUAUAUUGGGCACCUGGAUAUUGCAGGAUACGCUCUCUAUUUUAAGGCUAUGCUCCGUAAAGAGAGUGCCUCCUCUAGAAUCACAAGACCUAAGCAUGAAUCUUCCUUUGAAGGAUAAAAUGGAAGGAAAAAAACUGGAUGAGGAAAAGAAGAGUGGGGAAUAGAAAGAGAGAGAGAGAGAAAGAUGGAUAAAUUUUUAAAGUUACUAUAAUAAAAAUCUUCUACAACGAAA